rnacentral:rRNA from 1 species
AACGAACGCUGGCGGCAUGCCUAACACAUGCAAGUCGAACGAACCCUUCGGGGUUAGUGGCGCACGGGUGCGUAACGCGUGGGAAUCUGCCCUUUGGUUCGGAAUAACUCAGGGAAACUUGAGCUAAUACCGGAUGAUGACUUCGGUCCAAAGAUUUAUCGCCAAAGGAUGAGCCCGCGUAGGAUUAGCUAGUUGGUGGGGUAAUGGCCCACCAAGGCGACGAUCCUUAGCUGGUCUGAGAGGAUGAUCAGCCACACUGGGACUGAGACACGGCCCAGACUCCUACGGGAGGCAGCAGUGGGGAAUAUUGGACAAUGGGCGAAAGCCUGAUCCAGCAAUGCCGCGUGAGUGAUGAAGGCCUUAGGGUUGUAAAGCUCUUUUACCCGGGAUGAUAAUGACAGUACCGGGAGAAUAAGCUCCGGCUAACUCCGUGCCAGCCGCCGCAGU